rnacentral:miRNA from 1 species
UGUAUUAUAUGUAUGUGUACAUGUGCAUGCAUGAACAUGUAUGUAAGUUGCAGGUACACGUGUGCCACAGUGUGCA